CUCUGGUUUCUCAGAUGCUUGCUCAGGCGCAUGGCGAGUCCCAAAACUCUGACGCUUUUCGGAGGCUGUCCUAUGGUUGCACCAGGAAGCUGUCUGCAGGAAAGGCAAAGAAGAAGAAAGGAGUAUUCUGGGGCAUUGAGGUGACCAAAACACUCAGGUGGCAUGGCUGGGAGCUUGGAAAAGAGACCAUCAAACACCUGAUCUUGAAAAAUGUUCAUGAGAAAACCCAGAAGCUGAGCUACAGGUGUCCUUCCACGAGAUUCUUCUUCACUGUUUUUCCACAGCCGAUCAUUCUGAGACCUGGUAUGUCCUUAACUCUGCCCAUCAUUUUCCGGCCCAUUGAAAAGAGGGAGUACGAAGACAACAUCUGCUUUAAGAAGGAUGAGGGUGAGUUCUCUGUCACCCUGCGUGCUACGCUCCCGCACCCUUGUCUGUCCUUCCCAGCUGCUGUCCAGUUGCCUGCCUGUGCUGUCCACAAUGUCACGGAGAUAACAUUCCCUGUGCGCAACAUCGGUGAUCUCGUCACUGUGUUUCACUGGGAGACGCCAAGCCCUUUCUACAUGAUUCCUGACUACAGCAUACUGAACCCAGGUGCUGAGUGCAUGGUCAAAGUGGUCUUCCAACCCAAGGUGGCUGCAGUGUAUGAUGUAGCAGCAACAUGCUGGUUUGGAAGUGAAGAGAAACGAAAGAGGACUAUCCAGCUAAAAGCCCUGUCCAAAUACCCCUAUCUGCAGGUGAAUGUGGUAGGGGAAGAAAAAGAAGGUGUACAACCUGGAAAGUUUCAGGAUGUGCUGUGCUUUGGAUCAGUGCCAGUGGGGACAACUGUGGAGAAGUGUGUAGAAAUCUUCAACAUGUCUGUGGUUGAUGCACCAUGUAGGAUAGAAAGAGCAGAAGAUCCUCUGCUUCAAGAUCAUGUUUUCUCUUGUGAUGUGUCCCAUGGCAUUGUCCCUGCCAAAGGGAAGCUGGUCUUGUGCAUACAAUUUCAGCCUCAGAUAGUAGGAGAGCACAGUACUGACUAUUUCACUAUCACAUCUGCUGGAUACCUCCUGCAGACUGUCCUGAAGGUGACUGGCUCAUGUAAAGGUCCUUCGGUGUCCCUGCAUCAAGAUUCGUUGGACUUUGACUGGAUCAACCUUGGACAAAGUUUGAUGCGGAUGCUGGAAAUCAGCAACACCUCAGAUGUCCCAGCCUAUUACCAAUUUGAUAUUGGUGUCACAGGGAGCGUCUUCUCCUUGGAUCGCCCCUGUGGAGUCUUGGAGGGCACAACAACACUAGUGUUGAAGGUGACCUUUCGACCCACUCACCCCAUCAGCUAUCACCGCAGAGUGGUGUGCCUUGUCCACCAUCAGGAACCCUUGUAUGUGGACUUUUUUGGUACCUGCCAUUCAGACACGGCUAAGCCAGCCAUCCUUCAGGCAAGACACCUCUCCUGGUACCGAACCAACAUGGUGAGAGGGCUGACCUUCUACCCCCCUGAUAUUGUGAGUGCGAUGCUGAAGGAUGGGAAGUUGCAGAUGGAUGAAAAGGGAGCCCUCAUGCUGCUCCCCGAGAUCCCUCAGGACAAGCGUCCUAAAGAAUACUUUGAAGUUGACUCUAUGACUGAAUAUUUCUACGAUGGUGAAACCAGCGACAUGGCCUUGUUUCCCCCUCAUGUUAAUGUCAGCCCCAGGGAGUAUGAUUUUGGUUGCUGCCUGCCGCUUCACAAGGUAAAACCACUUCCUCUCUGUGUGACCAAUCACACCAAAGGAAGUAUCACUGUUUUCUGGACUCUAAGCCAUGGCAGUGCCUUCCAAGUGAGCCCUGAAAUGUGCGACAUCCCACCUUUGAAGUCCUCAGCCUUCCGUGUCAUUUUCAAGCCCACUCAGCUCAACACUCUCUAUGCAGCGGAGCUGGAAGGUUUUGCCUUCUACAAGGUGCUGAGACACUACAACAGCAUUGAGGAAGACGCCACCAUCUGUCCAUCCUGGUGCCUAACUGUCAAGCUGAGAGCACACACAUUUGAAGAAGGACGGGAGCAUUUCAUCCCACAGUACAUCCUGGAUGUCCCCAAGACUUUUCCUCCUGUGGCUCCUAACACAGAUACCUACUGCAGCAUGCUACUCUUGAACACUGGCACCUCUCUGAUAACCUUCAGUGUGAACCAAGCUGCCUGUCCCUCUCUUUUGGUCAAGCCCUGCUCAGGAUACAUCAUUCCAGGAGGCCACCAGAUUUUCUUUCUCUCCACCCACCCAGUUAACACACUUUCACAGCAGCAUAUCUUGCCUUUGCAGCUGAACUCUCACCCUGGAUACACCAAGGAAAUUGUUCUCCAGAGUUGUGGGGAGUCCCUUAAUUUGCUCUUAGAAGGUGAAGGGAAUCUAUACUUCAAACCUGUCUAUAUAGGGACCUCUUUUACACGAAUGUAUACCAUAAAAAACCGUACAAGGCUACCCAUGGUUUUCACAUGGAAGAUCCGUCAGUCUGACAGCAAGAUCCUGUCUGUCAGUCCCACUGCAGGGAUCCUCCAGCCCUAUGAAGCCAUGGCUCAGGCAUGGACUUUCACUCCUGACAAGGAGAUCAAGUAUCUGCUGCGAGCUAAGGUGUUUGUGAGGAGAAAAAACACAGACCCCAUGUGUCCUGAAACUGUCUGUUAUGCCUUACGGAUUGUUGGAGAGGGGGCACUGGGCACCAUCAGGGCAGAAAAGGAGCACCUGGACCUUGGAAAUGUUCUGGUUGGUGACCUGCAAAGCUGCACCAUUGUACUGCUAAAUGAUGGGAUCUGUUCUCUGAAGUACAUCCUCAGUGUGGAACAACUGAUCACUGGGCCUCCUGACACCGAGGAGGUCCGCAGCGAUCCUCUGGCUCUAGAACUGGAAUACUCCAGAGGGACAAUCCCUGCAAGGUCAAGAGCUUUUGUCCAAGUAACAGUCAGGCCAGCCCGUCGGCUGCAUUACACCUGGUCAAUCAAAUAUGCUCUUUGCACUCCCACAGCUACAGAUCUUACAAGAACAGAAGAGGAGCAGCAGCCCCUCUGCUGCAUUGUAGCAACAGGUGUCUACCCAACUUUCUGCAUCACAGAUGCCUGUUCAGCAGGCAGUGGCAGUGGUAUCAGCAAGUUGCACCUCUGGAGGCUCUUUUCCUUGGACAUACUGAAUAAGUACUUGAAGCAAGACCCGACUCCCAGUGAGCUCAUCUACAGAGUUCCCACUAGGCACAGCACAUGCUUGAGCCCUCCAGUGUACACGCCUCUCUUGCUGGAUUUCAACUUUGGGGCUGCUCCAAUAGGCUCAGAGCCUACCCUCGUGAUGCUCCUGCUGGAGAACAAGGGUGUGGUGCCUGUGGAGUGGGCCUUUCUGUUUCCUUCUGAUCAGAAGCUGGACGUGGAGCACUGGGCAGAGGAUGCUGAAUUUAGCUCCCGUGAGCUGCAUGAGAUGAGAAUUCAGGAUAACCAGCUCUUCAGUGUUUCCCCAAAGUCAGGGAAACUUCUUCCAGGACAGGAGGAAUCUAUCCAGCUCUCACACAGACAUGAUUUCACUGGCAUUGAUAGCCUCCCUGUCCUGCUGAAGGUUUCCUAUGGCCGUGAGAUUCUGCUGAACUUCAGCGGUGUGACAGUGGAAGAGGGCCAGCAGUAUAUUCAUUUUACAUCCUCAAAGCACCUCUUCACACCCAUUGCCAUUGGGACCUCCCACCCCCCCACACAGAUUUAUGAACUCUACAAUGGCGGCUCCGUGCCGGUGAUAUUUGAGGUUCAGCUGGACGAGGUUAUGAAGAUCCAGAAGGAGAAUUUUCAGCAUCCUGUGUUUGUCUGCCUAACUCCUAGAGGUGAAAUCCCCCCUGGCAUAACAGGCCACAUUGAGUGGAUCUUCUCACCACUGGAAGCUAGAACAUACAUGGUUGACGUUCCCAUCCACAUCCUGGGAGGUGAAUCAGCUGUGAUCACUUUCAAGGGAGAAGGCUACGAUCCAAACACCAUAGAAGGGACUGCUUCAUCCAGUAAAGUUUUGCUUCCUUCAGUCUUUUCAGGUUCUACCAAGCUAACUGUGCCUGGGCAGGCAGCCACCUUGUCCCACAGAAGGAUUUGUUUUGGAAAUAUCCCAGACUGUGCUAAAGCUAGUCGACUUGUCUUUCUCAACAAUAUCUCGGAGAGCAAGACUGUUGUGUUUGCCUGGCAGAUAAGCACCUGCAAAGACAAGAGGGUGUUACAGAUUGCUCCAGAAGUAGGGGUUGUGCAGCCUGGAGAAAGCAUCCCCUGCUUCAUCACAUUGCAACCUUCAGGGACUGCUUCCUUCUGCAGCACAGAUCUGGUGUGUGAGCUAUACAUCCAGGAGUCCCUGGCUCAGUACAAGAGGGAGCUGCAGGAGUGGGAGAAGGAGAAGGCGAGGCAGGCUGUGGAAUUCACCAUCACAGAGAAGGACCUGGGGAAGCAAAAGUCACCUGCAGGGAGGUCAUCAGGUUCUGCUGAGACAGAAAUUCUUCCUGAAUCCUCAGCUGUGAUGAGGAGAUACAAGACAUUACCCCCUAUUAAAAACCACCCUACACCAAAUCAGCCAGCUGGACACGUUGACAGGAGGCGGCUGUUGGACAAAGAAUCCAGCUGGGUGUGGAUCAAACCAGAGCCUCCCAAGCCCAUCCUCUUACACCUUGGUGUGACAGCCACUGCCUACUCUCUUGAGGACUUCUUCAACAAAUUCACCUCUGAACUCCACAAGUACUUCUUGUUCUGGCCCUUCAGCGACCAGCCCUUGGAAACCAAAUUUGUGGAUGGGAGAAGGGACAAAAACAGAAUGGAAACGGAGCCCAAAAGGCUGUCCCUGGCUGCUGCUUCGAAACAGGAGUUGCAGAUAGUGACUGACAUACUCGCAGGUGUCAUCAGAGGCCUCUUGGAGAGCACCCAGCUCCAUGAUGCAGUAAGAAGCACCCUGGAUGAGCCCAUUCCAUACUUCUCCCAGUUUCGGUGUGCAGAAUCAGCAGAACUCCAGGACAGGAGACAGUGCUCCACAGUCCCCUCUGGGGUCUCUGCUUCACCAGAUCUUUACCCUGAGAAGGAUGAAGAGAGGAAACAAAUGAGGCAGGAAACCUCUCCCAAUAAUGAUUGGUUGGAAAUUUCCCACCAUGAGCAGUUGAGGGAGCAGAAGGAGAUGAUAAGCAGGCAGCCAGCCUUUAGGAGCCUGGUGGAGCUGGUGCUGGAGAACACCCUGCAGAAUAUACUGAUUGAAGCCAGCUGUGGGGAAGUGGUGCUGACAGCCCAGCCCAGGGUCAUUGCUCUACCCUCCAGCCCUUCCCAAAGACCACAUGGAUUAGCUGGAUCACGGGCUGUCAAUGUCAAGGCUGCCUGUGCAAAACAGGGAAUCUACUCCAAAAGCCUCUGCCCCUUCUUUGCUUGUCCUAAACCACAGAGCAGAGGUGAUAAUGGUACAGCCUUUCCGUGGACCUGAGACCAUCAUGCAGUUCAGGGGCAGGGCCCUGUGAGUGAACAGCUAGCAGAAGAGUCUGAGGCACUGGACAGCCCAGCACAAGGAGGGUUUCUUAGAAUCACCAGUCCACCACCACCACCACCCUCAAGAGCAUAGCUGCUGGGCACUGGGCUGCUUGAGCUUGUUACAUGCAUCAGCUUCCACCUCUCUACAGCCUGUCCCCGUGAUGUCCAGUGCAACUCCAGUCCUCCCACCCCAUGACUGGACCACAGCAUGUUGUCUGCCUCUGAGGGCCUAUGUCCUGAUUAUGUCCUCAUUUCCAAUUUGAAUCCUCUGGCAACUCCACAGCAGAGCUAAUGAGAUCUUGCCUGUCUGUAGCUGUCCACAUCAUCAGAGAAGAACCUCCUUCUGCUACAGGGAGCACAUGGACAACCUCUGUGACUGUUCCCACUGCUCUUGGUCUGUAUGAGCUGGGAGACAAAUCUUCUUUGAAAUGUGGCAGAGGAUAGACAGCUGGGCACUGAGGUGCUGAGCCCCUGAUAACAUCAGUAGGACGAAGGUACUUAAUCCUCUCUUUCUUGCUCCAGAGACUGCUGCAGGUCCCACAUACAGCAACCCAGCCUGAGAGAGAGGCUGCAGCACCAUCCAGCACAUUCAGUAACCCAAUAAAAGCAGUUUGGCCUCUGGGCACAAAGA